rnacentral:rRNA from 1 species
UCGAGAAUCUUCGGCAAUGGGCGCAAGCCUGACCGAGCGACGCCGCGUGGAGGAUGAAGGCCUUCGGGUUGUAAACUCCUGUCGAGGGGGAGGAAGCCGCAAGGUUGACCGAUCCCUGGAGGAAGCACGGGCUAAGUUCGUGCCAGCAGCCGCGGUAAGACGAACCGUGCGAACGUUAUUCGGAAUCACUGGGCUUAAAGCGCGUGUAGGCGGAUCGCCGCGUCGGCUGCUGAAAUCCCCCGGCUCAACCGGGGAACGGGCACCGAUACGGGCGGUCUCGAGGGGGGUAGGGGGACCUGGAACUUCCGGUGGAGCGGUGAAAUGCGUUGAGAUCGGAAGGAACGCCCGUGGCGAAAGCGAGGUCCUGGACCCUUUCUGACGCUGAGACGCGAAAGCCAGGGGAGCGAACG